GAUGAACGCUAGCUACAGGCUUAACACAUGCAAGUCGAGGGGCAGCACAGUGUAGCAAUACACGGGUGGCGACCGGCGCACGGGUGCGUAACGCGUAUCCAACCUUCCCGUUACUCAGGGAUAGCCUUCCGAAAGGGAGAUUAAUACCUGAUGGUGUUGAAAUUCCGCAUGUUAUUUCAACUAAAGAUUUAUCGGUAACGGAUAGGGAUGCGUGACAUUAGAUAGUAGGCGGGGUAACGGCCCACCUAGUCUACGAUGUCUAGGGGUUCUGAGAGGAAGGUCCCCCACACUGGUACUGAGAUACGGACCAGACUCCUACGGGAGGCAGCAGUGAGGAAUAUUGGUCAAUGGUCGGAAGACUGAACCAGCCAUGCCGCGUGCAGGAAGAAUGUCUUAUGGAUUGUAAACUGCUUUUGUAUGGGGCUAAUAAUAACUUUGCGAAGUUAGAUGCAGGUACCAUACGAAUAAGGAUCGGCUAACUCCGUG
rnacentral:rRNA from 1 species